GCAUCAAUGGCGGAAUAGGUAGACGCGCACGCUUGAGGGGCGUGUGGGGCAACCCGUGCAAGUUCGAUUCUUGUUUGAUGCACCA
rnacentral:tRNA from 1 species